ensembl:snRNA U6 U6 spliceosomal RNA
GUGCUCACUUCAGCAGCACAUAUACUAAAAUUGGAACAAUACAGAGAGGUGAGCAUGGCCCCCUGCAAGGAUGACAUGCAAAUUUGUGAAGCAUUCCAUAUUAAA